rnacentral:rRNA from 1 species
AGAGCGCGGCGAAAUGCGAUAAGUAAUGCGAAUUGCAGAAUUCAGUGAGUCAUCGAAUCUUUGAACGCAUAUUGCGCCCUUUGGUAUUCCGAAGGGCAUGCCUGUUCGAGCGUCAUGAUCAACCAUCAAGCUUGGCUUGUCGUUGGACUUUUGGCCCCCCGGGGCCGGUCUGAAGAGUAAUAGACAGGACGUGGUCGCCUCUGUAAUACGACGAGCUUUCCAAGCAUGUAUUUCAGGCCACCCGCCCCCGUCUUUAAACCCCUAUUAUUUCCAGUUGACCUCGGAUCAGGUAAGGAUACCCGCUGAACUUAAGCAUAUCAAUAAGCGGAGGAAAAGAAACCAACAGGGAUUACCCUAGUAACGGCGAGUGAAGCGGUAACAGCUCAAAUUUAAAAUCUGGCCUUGACGGGUCCGAGUUGUAAUUUGCAGAGGAUGUUUUGGACAAGACGGCGGUUUAAAUUUCUUGGAACAGAAUAUCGCAGAGGGUGAGAGUCCCGUCUAAAACCGAUGGUCGCGUCCGUGUGAAACUCCCUCGACGAGUCGAGUUGUUUGGGAAUGCAGCUCAAAAUGGGUGGUAAAUUUCAUCUAAAGCUAAAUAUUGGCCAGAGACCGAUAGCGCACAAGUAGAGUGAUCGAAAGAUGAAAAGCACUUUGAAAAGAGAGUUAAAUAGCAUGUGAAAUUGUUGAAAGGGAAGCGCUUGCAACCAGACUUGUCUGUUGUGGUUCCCCCCGUCUUCUGGCGGGGAUAUUCCGCGACGUUCAGGCCAGCAUCGGUUUGGGUGGUUGGUGAAAGGCCCGAGGAAUGUAUCUACCUCCGGGUCGACUUAUAGCCUCGGGUGUC